rnacentral:tRNA from 1 species
CAGAAGGUAGUUUAAGAAAAAUUUGGGUUUUGGAAAUCUAAGAUGCUGUAAAGUCUUUCUGA